rnacentral:rRNA from 1 species
GAUGAACGCUGGCGGCGUGCCUAAUACAUGCAAGUCGAGCGAACGGGCGACAAGCUUGCGUCUCUGAUGUUAGGGGCAGACGGGUGAGUAACACGUGGAUCCCCUCCCUCUAAGCCUGAUAUACCUUCGGGAAACCGGAGAUAAUACCGGAUGAUAUUUUGAACCGCAUGGUUCAAAAGUGAUAGACGGGCUUGCUGGCACUUAUAGAUGGAUGCGCGCUGGAUUGGCUAGGUGGUAAGGUAACGGCUUACCGAGGCCACGAUGGAUAGCCGACCUGAGAGGCGGAUCGCCGACCCUGGAACUGAGACACGGUCCAUACGCCUACGGCAGGCAGCAGUAGGGUAUCUUCCGCAACGGGCGAAAGCCUUACGGAGCAACGCCGCGUGAGUGGUGACGGUCCUCCGAUCGUAAAACUCUGUUAUGGGUGGUGAACAUAUUUCUCAGUAACCGUGCACUUCUUGACGGUAGCUAAUGAGAAAGCCCCGGCUAACUACGUG